UUACCCAGUGCCGUGGGUGCUGCUAGUGUCCUGUCUUUGCGAGCCCUCAUCGGCUGCGAUUUGUGUUGGCGUGCUUCAACGAGGACGUAAGUCUCUUGUUUUUAUUGAGCAGCGUUUGUCUCUCUGUUUUUUAGGUACUUGCUGUAAUGAGCUUUUAUUGAUUUAAUGUUUUGUUUAUUAGUUCCGGGUUUAGAGUGAUCACUACAAGUUUGCCGAGUGCGUUUGUUGUGCUGAGAACUUUGGUUUGGGAAUGUUCAAGUAAAAACCAGACGGAGUAAAGUGACUGCUACAGUAUUAUAAAUAACCAAGCUUUUGGCUUGAUGCUGUGGUCUGUUCAUACAGGAGGAGCGACAUAUGCUGUCCUGGCCACUGUUUUUCCUGUGCUCUUGUUUUUAGGAUUCAGCUCCGUGUGUGUGUGUGUACGUGGGGAAGAACCGUCUAUUAAGUUGCCUAUGAGCCUCCCCCUGGUGUGUUGAUGUAUGUUGUGUGUUAUGUAAUGUGUGUAUUUUAGGCCAUUGGGUUGGUGCAAUAUCCUGGGUAGGGGGGAUAACAAUUUUGUUGUGUGGCCACUGGUUUGUCUAGU